GGAUACGAGGGAAUCUAGGCUGUGACAAUGUAAUCAACUGAUUUUUGAGGGUGGAUUUGACUGAUUUUGCUGGCUAGGCUGGCAUCCCUCUCCUCCCUCACUACUCCAUGUGCAUUUUUCCUGACAUUAUGCACUCCUUCCUUGGUAGAUAAAGACAAUUCUUCCAUGAAGUAUGUAUGAGUACUUGUGCUCCAAAUGAGCUUGUCAGAUCCGUGUUUGGAGUGCUUCCUACAC
rnacentral:snRNA from 1 species